AUCAUUGUUGUUACUGCUACAGGCUGAGGUUGUUUCUAGAAAUAUCAAAUUGAAAAUUCUCAGAAUGGAUUGCUCGUCGUCAGUUAACAUGUAUGGAGCUGAAUGUCGCUUUACUAAACGCUAAAACUAGGAGUUACUAUCGCAAGGGAAGUGCUGCCCCUCCACCAAGUAAGGUAAAACAGUUUGGAAACUGCUAUUGCGUGUUUUCCAUCAUUUAUCAUCUGCCAUAAACAAUACAAUAAUGAAUGGUAAAAAUAAAAAUACAGCAAGAAACCGCAACAACUCGUAUACUUUGUCAUUGCAUAAAGACAAGCUAAUUGUGUCAUCUUUUAUUUUCAAAUUGUCAUAUAAAUCAAUUUAUAGAAGUAGAUGCAAGAAGUAACACUGUAUGUAUGUAUAAUUAUGCUAAUUUCAAAAUGGGAUAAUUGGAUGAACAGUUUUCAAAGCUCAUUUUACAAAAUUUGCAUAUUGUCAUUUAGAACUCGGCCAAUAACAAUUAAAUCAUGUUAACCGGAGCUUAAAUUUGAUUUUGUAAAAUAUGAUUCUGUAAAAAGCCACAUGGUUGAUGUAAACAUUGUGGACAUUUGAACAGAUUUUAACCUUGAAAAGUUUUUUAACUUUGAAAAGACAUAUGGUUCCUAUUGAAAAUGUUUCAUAUUUGUCAAAAGCUUAAAGUUUUGUUUGCUUAAAUAUUUUAAGACAAUUCACAAUUCUGAUUUUGUUCUUUAGGUUGAAAUAAAAACACGGCAUGAUUUCUUGUUU